rnacentral:lncRNA from 1 species
UGAUUAGAUCUGUGGGCUGGUUUGGAUUGGGCCCGAAAUCUGAUCUGAACCUGUUAUCUGGUUUGGUUCAAUUGGGCCUAAUCUGUGUUGGGCCACAAUUGACUUGGGUUUAAAGGGUUCUGAUUUUAGGGUCUAUGUUUGAUCUUAGGGGCCCAUUCUUGGAUCUAUGAACUUAGGAGUUUAAGGAAUUGGAAAUAGUUUAAAAUUAUGUUUCUUAGUUAAUUAAAUAAUUAAUGUUUAUGUUUUAAUCAGGGGUUCGUGAUAUCUGUGGCAGAAAUUUUUAAGCGAACCCAGGUAGGUGAUCUAUUGCUUUAAAGUAAAAUUCUAACAUGUAUCUUGCAUAUGUUGAUUUAUUGAUUUAUUAUUAGCAAUAUGUGUUAGAAUUAAAAUUAAAUAUUUAAUUUCAUAAACUGUUAUGCGCUUUACU